rnacentral:rRNA from 1 species
GGAAAGGCGCGCGAUACAGGGUGACAGCCCCGUACACAAAAAUGCACAUGCUGUGAGCUCGAUGAGUAGGGCGGGACACGUGGUAUCCUGUCUGAAUAUGGGGGGACCAUCCUCCAAGGCUAAAUACUCCUGACUGACCGAUAGUGAACCAGUACCGUGAGGGAAAGGCGAAAAGAACCCCGGCGAGGGGAGUGAAAAAGAACCUGAAACCGUGUACGUACAAGCAGUGGGAGCACGCUUAGGCGUGUGACUGCGUACCUUUUGUAUAAUGGGUCAGCGACUUAUAUUCUGUAGCAAGGUUAACCGAAUAGGGGAGCCGAAGGGAAACCGAGUCUUAACUGGGCGUUAAGUUGCAGGGUAUAGACCCGAAACCCGGUGAUCUAGCCAUGGGCAGGUUGAAGGUUGGGUAACACUAACUGGAGGACCGAACCGACUAAUGUUGAAAAAUUAGCGGAUGACUUGUGGCUGGGGGUGAAAGGCCAAUCAAACCGGGAGAUAGCUGGUUCUCCCCGAAAGCUAUUUAGGUAGCGCCUCGUGAAUUCAUCUCCGGGGGUAGAGCACUGUUUCGGCAAGGGGGUCAUCCCGACUUACCAACCCGAUGCAAACUGCGAAUACCGGAGAAUGUUAUCACGGGAGACACACGGCGGGUGCUAACGUCCGUCGUGAAGAGGGAAACAACCCAGACCGCCAGCUAAGGUCCCAAAGUCAUGGUUAAGUGGGAAACGAUGUGGGAAGGCCCAGACAGCCAGGAUGUUGGCUUAGAAGCAGCCAUCAUUUAAAGAAAGCGUAAUAGCUCACUGGUCGAGUCGGCCUGCGCGGAAGAUGUAACGGGGCUAAACCAUGCACCGAAGCUGCGGCAGCGACG